AAAGAUUUGAUUAGGGCACAUGCAAUGCUCAGUUGGUAGAGCAGGCGCCAGUAUAUAGAGGUUAACUCCUCAACGCAACAGGCCCGGGUUUGACUCCGACCUGCGGCCCUUUGCUGCAUGUUAUUCCCUCUCUCUCUCCCCCCUUUCAUAUCUU